rnacentral:rRNA from 1 species
UAGGGAAUCUUCGGCAAUGGACGAAAGUCUGACCGAGCAACGCCGCGUGAGUGAAGAAGGUUUUCGGAUCGUAAAACUCUGUUGUUAGAGAAGAACAAGGACGUUAGUAACUGAACGUCCCCUGACGGUAUCUAACCAGAAAGCCACGGCUAACUACGUGCCAGCAGCCGCGGUAAUACGUAGGUGGCAAGCGUUGUCCGGAUUUAUUGGGCGUAAAGCGAGCGCAGGCGGUUUCUUAAGUCUGAUGUGAAAGCCCCCGGCUCAACCGGGGAGGGUCAUUGGAAACUGGGAGACUUGAGUGCAGAAGAGGAGAGUGGAAUUCCAUGUGUAGCGGCGAAAUGCGUAGAUAUAUGGAGGAACACCAGUGGCGCAGGCGGCUCUCUGGUCUGUAACUGACGCUGAGGCUCGAAAGCGUGGGGAGCAAACAGG